UUUAAACUCAAAGGAAUUGACGGGGGCCCGCACAAGCGGUGGAGCAUGUGGUUUAAUUCGAAGCAACGCGAAGAACCUUACCAGGUCUUGACAUCCUCUGACAACCCUAGAGAUAGGGCUUCUCCUUCGGGAGCAGAGUGACAGGUGGUGCAUGGUUGUCGUCAGCUCGUGUCGUGAGAUGUUGGGUUAAGUCCCGCAACGAGCGCAACCCUUGAUCUUAGUUGCCAUCAUUCAGUUGGGCACUCUAAGGUGACUGCCGGUGACAAACCGGAGGAAGGUGGGGAUGACGUCAAAUCAUCAUGCCCCUUAUGACCUGGGCUACACACGUGCUACAAUGGACGGUACAAAGAGCUGCAAGACCGCGAGGUGGAGCUAAUCUCAUAAAACCGUUCUCAGUUCGGAUUGUAGGCUGCAACUCGCCUACAUGAAGCUGGAAUCGCUAGUAAUCGCGGAUCAGCAGCUCGUCUGUAAUUC
rnacentral:rRNA from 1 species